UACGAAGGGGGCUAGCGUUGCUCGGAAUCACUGGGCGUAAAGGGUGCGUAGGCGGGUCUUUAAGUCAGGGGGGAAAUCCUGGAGCUCAACUCCAGAACUGCCUUUGAUACUGAAGAUCUUGAGUUCGGGAGAGGUGAGUGGAACUGCGAGUGUAGAGGUGAAAUUCGUAGAUAUUCGCAAGAACACCAGUGGCGAAGGCGGCUCACUGGCCCGAUACUGACGCUGAGGCACGAAAGCGGGGGGAGCAAACAGG
rnacentral:rRNA from 1 species